CGAAUUGUACCGCAUUCGCUCCACACUCCUCAACUGCGAUCGAUCGGUACCUUCUUCUCCUCUCUGGCGGUGGAUUGAAAGGGGAGAGGCGUCUUCUGCCGAAUCGAAUCGAAUCGAAACGAAUCGCUCAUUGGGGUUUGCAUCCGACGAUGAUGGUUAAGGAAGGCGGCGCGGAUCUCCUUCCUUCGUCGGAUCCCAAGACUCCUUCUUCAACCGCCGACGCUGGCGUCUUCGGCAAGGGCCGAUACAGGUUCUGGGCGCUUGCGGCCAUCCUCCUCCUUGCAUUCUGGUCCAUGCUCACCGGCACUGUCACCCUCCGAUGGUCAGCCGGCGACCUCAACCGCCUCGCCCACGACUUUGACGUCCCCGUCGCGGUUAACCCGGAUCUCGACGUUCUGGAGAUGGAAGAGCGGGAGAAGGCGGUGAGGCACAUGUGGGACGUGUACGCCCACGCCCAAACUCGCCGGAUCCGGUUGCCGAGGUUCUGGCAGGAAGCGUUCGAGGCGGCGUACCAGGACCUUUCCGGCGACGACCCCGACGCCAGGGACGCUGCCGUCGCUGAGAUCGCUCGAAUGUCGUUGCGGAUGCUCGAUCCAGAGGCUCCCCCACGAAAUCCCAAGGCUGCUGAAAUAAAGAGGAACCAAAGACUUCGAGAUGGCAUUUCUUCGUUGGUGUCAGGGUCCUCGUCUUCUGAUGCUCGAUAGCAGAUGUGUAUUUGGCUUCUGACAAAGUUACCAAUGUCAAGUUACUGCUUCUCCAACAAUCACUGAUAUAAUUAGUUGUUACUUUCAACUUCUCGAUGCUCCAUUCAUGACUUGGUUACUUGUCUGGAUGAAUCCGAGACAAGAGGAAGGAGAAGAAAAUGGAAAAGGACAAGUUUUUUCGUCUGGGCAUGAAUGGCUAUUUUUUAAAAAAGAAAACUUUUUCUCGUGCUGUUCUUUGCUCCAUUCUCUUGCUUAUUCUCCUCCUCCAUUCAUCCAUCCAUGUAAUGAUGUAAACAAGCUAUCAGUGUUGUGUCAUCAGUUUCUUUUGUCA